rnacentral:rRNA from 1 species
AGUGAACGCUGGCGGUAGGCCUAACACAUGCAAGUCGAACGGCAGCACAGUAAGAGCUUGCUCUUACGGGUGGCGAGUGGCGGACGGGUGAGGAAUACAUCGGAAUCUACUUUUUCGUGGGGGAUAACGUAGGGAAACUUACGCUAAUACCGCAUACGACCUACGGGUGAAAGCAGGGGAUCUUCGGACCUUGCGCGAUUGAAUGAGCCGAUGUCGGAUUAGCUAGUUGGCGGCGUAAAGGCCCACCAAGGCGACGAUCCGUAGCUGGUCUGAGAGGAUGAUCAGCCACACUGGAACUGAGACACGGUCCGGACUCCUACGGGAGGCAGCAGUGGGGAAUAUUGGACAAUGGGCGCAAGCCUGAUCCAGCCAUACCGCGUGGGUGAAGAAGGCCUUCGGGUUGUAAAGCCCUUUUGUUGGGAAAGAAAAGCAGCAGGUUAAUACCCCGCUGUUCUGACGGUACCCAAAGAAUAAGCACCGGCUAACUUCGUG